rnacentral:rRNA from 1 species
GGACCCGCACAAGUAGUGGAGCAUGUGGUUUAAUUCGAUGCAACGCGAAGAACCUUACCAGGGCUUGACAUACUACAAAUUCUUUAGAGAUAAAGAAGUGCCUUCGGGAAUGUAGAUACAGGUGGUGCAUGGCUGUCGUCAGCUCGUGUCGUGAGAUGUUGGUUAAGUCCCGCAACGAGCGCAACCCUUAUUUUUAGUUACUAAUUCGUUAGGUUUUCUAGAAAGACUGCCGGUGACAAACCGGAGGAAGGUGAGGAUGACGUCAAGUCAGCAUGCCCCUUAUGCCCUGGGCUACACACGUGCUACAAUGGUUAAGACAAAGAGUCGCGAGCUCGCGAGAGUCAGCU